rnacentral:rRNA from 1 species
UACGUAGGUGACGAGCGUUAUCCGGAUUUAUUGGGCGUAAAGCGCACGCAGGCGGCAGAGAAAGUCUGACGUGAAAUCUCCCGGCUUAACUGGGAGCGGUCGUUGGAAACUACUUGGCUUGAGGCGAUGAGAGGGUCGUGGAAUUCCCGGUGUAGCGGUGAAAUGCGUAGAGAUCGGGAGGAACACCAGAGGCGAAGGCGGCGACCUGGACAGUGACUGACACUCAACUGCGAAAGCGUGGGGAGCAAACAGG